rnacentral:tRNA from 2 species
AUUUUUCAUCAGUCUGGCAGGGGAUUGAAAAUCCCCGUGUCCUUGGUUCGAUUCCGAGUCCGGGCACCA